rnacentral:rRNA from 1 species
AUGACACGCGUGCGAGGCGAGGCGGGCGACAGAGGAGGAGCGCACGUGUAUGUGAUCUCUUAUCAAGCUCUUAGUGCUGGGCCGAAGAUGAAUGGCUGUAACGCGUGGCAACUGGGCCAAAUCGUCUCGUCCCAGCUCGUGAAGGAAAAGGGCCUAGCACCUGGCUCCUUAAUUGGCAUCUCCAACACAGGCGCUAGUAGCCCGGCGCCAGGAUUUAUUCCCCUAGCAAUGAGUGGUUACGUCGAUCAAUCCUGGCAUUGGCCGCUCCCUUGGCGCAAAAUAAGGAGCCGGGGGCUAGGCCCUUUUCCUUCACGAGCUGGGACAAGACGCUGUUUUGAAUCUGGAUAUAUAGUGUCGCUAAUGCCUUACUUUGCGUCAAGGAAGCGGCUGAUGCCAGGAUUGAUCAACGUUUUGUGUCCUGCUCGGGAAGAUGAAACGGUAUUCUCCCCGCCUAGCUCUUGCCCUAUGGUGCAUUUAGGAUCGUCGGUGGAGGUGUGGGAGUGUGUCUCCAGCAGAUCUGUCUUUGCUAGAUUUGCUUUGAUUUGUUCGUCAGAGAACGAGCGGCCGAACAAGAGCCGCUCGAUCGACUGCGUGCGAUGUCCAGGUGUUCCCUGGUCGGGUGGUGGAGCCGCGCCGCUCGGACCGCGCGUGGACCGGUUGCCUGGUCCGAUCGAGCCACGCGAGAUUAACUUCCCGACGGACCCACACGUCAUAGAGAGGAUUGGGAGUUCCCAGCGUGAUAGACGUCGUGGGGAGUGGGCGGCGGUUUCGAAUUUCAUGCCAUUACCCCGUCCACCCCGCACCUGUCGCCACCCAUUCCUCCUCUUUCCCCCUGCUCUCGCCGCUGGUUGGUGCUCGGAGGCGGCUCCAAAUCCGCCGCUGGUUGUGGUCGACGGCGGGGCGCGCCGUGAGGGUCGUCGUCUGUGGUGGCACAGGUACUGCUCCUACCACGCUUUCCCCGGUACUCGUCCCCGCCCCCUCCUUUUUUCUGGUGAGGUUGCACGUUUUCCGCCUCGCGGUGGAUCUGGUGUUUUUGAUGAGUGUUUUUCCCCCGCGGUGUGCAACUGUGUUGCCCCUUGCGUGCAAAUUAGGAGCAGUAGUAGACAAUUUUUGAGACAAUAUAGCCAUAUCAGCCUUGUGGUGGUUCUUCUGGGUCAUGUGUUUUUCCCUACUAGGGCAAAAAUGGUUAUGAUAGGAGGAGAUGCGGAUGGCAAUGAAGAAGAUGAUGCUGAGCAGUUCCGUGUUGUAAAGCGGCCUAGACGUGGAGCAGUUGGAAAGGGAGUUGAGUCAUCUUCUAGGGUAGCAGUUGCUGGAGGAGUUGUCGCAUCUUCCGCAACAGUUGCUGAGGCUAGCGGUGAAGGAGUUGAGGUGGCUGCAGGGGAAGAUGUGGAGCGACCAUCACAAGCGUGCAGGAUAAGGGCAUCACCAGCGCGGUUUGCAAAUUUCAACGCCUCUCUAAGCCCACCACAGAAGUCAGAGCUAUCCUACCAGCCACAGACGUCUGAAAUGGUUUUCCCAGGAAGGGGAAGGAUCCGUGUCGAUGCUGACAGUGUUCAAAGGGUAUUUGAUCUUCCUAACAGGGGUCUAAAAGUCUGUUACAAAGUUGACAAGGAUACAACUAGGAGAUUCAGAGAGACGUUCAACAUAACUGGAACUUCUCAUCCCCAGAUCAGUACAUGGACCAUGAUGAUUACGGAUAUGGGGGGAAGAACAGAUGACACAUUCUUUAUGGCCUGGCUUGCGGUUGCCUUCAGCACUUUCUUAGCACCAACCACGGCCUUGAAGCUCAGCCCAAAGUGCUACGGACUCAUGCUAGAUCAUGAAAACCUCAAGAACACAAACAUCUGCCUUUUUGUAGCAGAACACAUUAACGAAGCUUUCCGGAACAUGGACCAGGUAAGCAACUGCGUGAUACGAUCGAAUGCAUGGGAUAGUACUCUAAUUGCCAAGGUGAUCAAGAAGGAUACCAUCUCUCCUGGUGUGUUCGGCAAAUUACAACUUAAAGAGGAGUAUAGAGGCACGGAGCAGACACCACUGUUUGGUGGAAUUUUGCAAGCUGAAGCAUUCAUGGCAUCCAAGUUACCAAUAACCUACAAUCCGCAGAAAAAGGCAAAGAUUGCGAAAGUGGUCAAUGACCUGUGCAAGGCUCAGCCAUCAAUGCAAACCGGGGCGUCAUGCCGUGCUCCAAAAAGAAAGAGAUGGGGGUCAACUAUACAAGAAGAAGACGAGUUUGUUGAGGAUGAGUCAGAAGAAGAUGAGGAAAUGGAAGCAGCGAUAGAUGUUGAUGAUGAUAGGGACAUAGACGCGGAUGAAUCAGAGGAGGACAAGGAUGAGGAUGACAAUGAAGAAGAUGCAGAGGAGGAGGAGGAGGAAGAGGAGGAGGAGGAGGAGGAGGAGGACAAACAAGAAGAGGACAAAGGAGAGGAGGAGGAGGAGGAAGAAGAUAGUGAGGCAGAGGAGGGGGAAGAAGAAGGUGAGGCCGAAGAGGGGGACGGGGACAAAGGUGCAACAGUUGAUGGCAGUGAGAGGGGAGAAGACAAAGGCGCAACAGUUGAUGGCAGUGAGAGGGAAAAAGACGACGAUGAAGAAGACGAGGACGGUUAUGGUGAUGAUGUUGGGGGAUCCAAUGGAGACAGUGACAACAGCGAUGAUGAUGAUGAUGGCAAUGCCCCUGGUUCUGGUGGUACAGGCGGCAACACAUCCAGGGGGACUAGCACUUCUGCCACUCCUGCCAGUAGCAGCAAUUCAUUAAGUAGCAGAACUUGCUGGAAAGACAAGGAUUUUUCGAAGUCAAAGAAAAAUGAUGAAGCAGAGUCUCAGGGCAGCAUUGAUAUGUUCAAGCUCUGCAACUUGAAGCCAGCUUUGGCAACCACCUUUCCUGUGCCAGAUUUUAGCGACCAAGAUAUGUGUGAGAAGAUCAACUUUGCCAUAGACAAUAGCAUGUUCUUAUCAAGUGUUGCUGAAAAGAAUCAAGUUGACAUGGAGGAAGCAGGAAAGGGUCUUGACUGGGUUCAUUCAAAGGAAAAAUCCAAGGAAUAUUUGAAGCAGCUUCCAGACCUAAGCUCCGGCAAGAGUAAGGCAGCAUCCAUGGCAAACUCUCACGUGGUCCAGAAGCGUAAAGCAGUUUCAAUGAAGAAGAAUCUGCAGUUGCCUCAAACCAAGGAGAAGAUGGUGAGUGCAGAUGCUGAAGUAAAUAUGGUCAAGGAAGCUGUGCUUCAAACUGAUACGCCAACUGUAGUGAGCAGAGAGCCAACCACUAUACAAAGAGUUCAACAGAUCAAGGGGAAGACUCCCCUUUCAAUAGUCCCACCAAAACCACCUAAGCAGCAAAGGAUUGUCAAGUUUGCUAGGGGCACAAAGGGGGAACAUGCCACAAAAGGUUUGGGGUUCAGAGACGAGAGAGAACUGCGACCCAGGGCCAUUGAUGCAGGGGUGCCAAGUUCUGCUAGGUUGCUGCCAACUCAGACUGGAAAGAUGCCAACUACAGAUACCAAUGUGCCAACUGAUGUGUCAGCUAGCAGCAUGGUCAUAGUCAAAACCACCACAGCUGCUCAGGAAGGCACCACUACAACUGCAAUCCCCAAGGUGCCUACUCAUAGAGAUGCUUCAAUGCAAAACACAAAAGGAGGUGAUCCUACUACCAAAUUGUCGUCCCCAAGAGCCAGCACACAGGAGCCAAGCAAGCCUACAUCACCAAGAGCUGACUUUCAGCAAGCACUAACACAAGAGGAGUCAGUGAACGAUGCACCCGUGUUUGUGCCGCAAGGAGAUGCCCUGGUCCUUGAACCCAUACGAAUAUCAAACUCUUAUCAUGGUGACGGGUUCUGCGAUGCACCAUCUUUUGGCCUCGUCAUAGAUGGUCAUGCUCCAGCACCUGCUCCAGCAGCAGAAACAGUGGAAGACGGUGUGAUUAGUAUUGAUGAGUGUGAGUUGGACCCAGCAGCUGUGAAUGAAGGAUGCGCUGGUGCUGAUGCUGUCAGAUCACCAGAGAAUUGCCACACCCCGAUAUGUGCAAAACCAGAAGCUGGCACAAGCAGUUCUUCGGGACCACCUAUUGCACGAAGACAGAGGAGGGUAAUAAGGCCCGCAGCAUCUCAAAGGUCUCCAUUCAUUGACUACAAGAAGAAGAAGUCAUUCAGCUCCAAUGAGGCAGAAUUAGUUGAUUCGAUGAAGCCGGUUCAAUGGCUAUCAAAAAUUGUUAUUGAGACUGGAAUCUUACACAUCAUGGAGAACUUACCAGAAGGGUCAAAGAAGGUUGUUAUGCCACUGAGGUUUUCGAUGAAUUUACAGCAAGGUAUCCACAACGUGAAUGAGAUAAACAAGAAGUUUGAUUACAAGAACCGUCUCGACAAGAAGGACUUGGGAGGGAGGCAUUAUUGGGUCUUCAAUGUCAACUUGAGGGACGGACGCUUCGAAGUUCUUGAUUCAAGCAGGACGCUAGAUGACAUUGAGCUGAUGACCACCGCCUCUACCAUCGCGGGGGCAGUACGCCAGCUAUGGAGGAAGCAUUACCCAAAGUUCAGCAUUGAGCACUUCCAGAUUAUUGACAUUGACGUACCGAAGCAGCUCGACAAUAGCCAACUGCCCAACUAUGACCCCAAGGAAGUACUCAACAUCAGGAAGAAGCUGGCAUAUGACUGGGUCACCAGCGUGCAUAACACCGCCCCAUGGAGGAAGUUGCUGAGAUACGACAAGGACUAG